UACAGAGGUCCCGAGCGUUGUUCGGAUUCACUGGGCGUAAAGGGUGCGUAGGUGGCUUGAAAAGUUUGAUGUGAAAGCUCAGGGCUUAACCCUGAAAUGGCAUUGAAUACUGUCGGGCUGGAGGUUUGGAGGGGGGACUGGAAUUCUUGGUGUAGCAGUGAAAUGCGUAGAUAUCAAGAGGAACACCAGUGGCGAAGGCGAGUCCCUGGACAACGCCUGACACUGAGGCACGAAAGCUAGGGGAGCAAACAGG
rnacentral:rRNA from 1 species